rnacentral:rRNA from 1 species
UACGUAGGGCGCAAGCGUUGUCCGGAAUUAUUGGGCGUAAAGAGCUCGUAGGCGGCUUGUCACGUCGAUUGUGAAAGCCCGAGGCUUAACCUCGGGUCUGCAGUCGAUACGGGCUAGCUAGAGUGUGGUAGGGGAGAUCGGAAUUCCUGGUGUAGCGGUGAAAUGCGCAGAUAUCAGGAGGAACACCGGUGGCGAAGGCGGAUCUCUGGGCCACUACUGACGCUGAGAAGCGAAAGCAUGGGGAGCGAACAGG